CCUACGGGAGGCAGCAGUGAGGAAUAUUGGUCAAUGGACGCAAGUCUGAACCAGCCAUGCCGCGUGCAGGAAGACUGCUCUAUGAGUUGUAAACUGCUUUUGUACGAGGGUAAACUCAGAUACGUGUAUCUGUCUGAAAGUAUCGUACGAAUAAGGAUCGGCUAACUCCGUGCCAGCAGCCGCGGUAAUACGGAGGAUUCAAGCGUUAUCCGGAUUUAUUGGGUUUAAAGGGUGCGUAGGUGGUCGGAUAAGUUAGAGGUGAAAUCGCGCGGCUCAACUUCGGAAUUGCAUCUGAUACUGUUAGGCUAGAGAGUAGUUGAGGUAGGCGGAAUGUAUGGUGUAGCGGUGAAAUGCUUAGAGAUCACACAGAACACCGAUUGCGAAGGCAGCUUACUAAGCUACUUCUGACGUUGAGGCACGAAAGCGUGGGGAGCAAACAGGAUUAGAUACCCCAGUAGUC
rnacentral:rRNA from 1 species